GAUGAACGCUGGCGGCGUGCUUAACACAUGCAAGUCGAACGGAAAGGCCCAAGCUUGCUUGGGUACUCGAGUGGCGAACGGGUGAGUAACACGUGGGUGAUCUGCCCUGCACUUCGGGAUAAGCCUGGGAAACUGGGUCUAAUACCGGAUAGGACGAUGGUUUGGAUGCCAUUGUGGAAAGUUUUUUCGGUGUGGGAUGAGCUCGCGGCCUAUCAGCUUGUUGGUGGGGUAAUGGCCUACCAAGGCGUCGACGGGUAGCCGGCCUGAGAGGGUGUACGGCCACAUUGGGACUGAGAUACGGCCCAGACUCCUACGGGAGGCAGCAGUGGGGAAUAUUGCACAAUGGGCGCAGGCCUGAUGCAGCGACGCCGCGUGGGGGAUGACAGCCUUCGGGUUGUAAACUCCUUUCGCUAGGGACGAAGCGUUUUUGUGACGGUACCUGGAGAAGAAGCACCGGCUAACUACGUG
rnacentral:rRNA from 1 species